rnacentral:rRNA from 1 species
UACGAGGGGGGCGAGCGUUGUUCGGAAUUAUUGGGCGUAAAGGGUGCGUAGGCGGUUUGGUAAGUCUUGUGUGAAAUCUACAGGCUCAACUUGUAGUCUGCACGAGAAACUGCCGGGCUUGAGUAUGGGAGAGGUGAGUGGAAUUCCUGGUGUAGCGGUGAAAUUCGUAGAUAUUCGCAAGAACACCAGUGGCGAAGGCGGCUCACUGGCCCGGUACUGACGCUGAGGUGCGAAAGCGUGGGGAGCAAACAGGG